CCUACGGGAGGCAGCAGUGGGGAAUAUUGCACAAUGGGGGAAACCCUGAUGCAGCGACGCCGCGUGAGUGAAGAAGUAAUUCGUUAUGUAAAGCUCUAUCAGCAGGGAAGAAAAUGACGGUACCUGAGUAAGAAGCACCGGCUAACUACGUGCCAGCAGCCGCGGUAAUACGUAGGGGGCAAGCGUUAUCCGGAUUUACUGGGUGUAAAGGGAGCGUAGACGGCAGUGCAAGUCUGGAGUGAAAGGCGGGGGGUCAACCCCCGGACUGCUCUGGAAACUGUACGGCUGGAGUGCAGGAGAGGUGAGUGGAAUUCCUAGUGUAGCGGUGAAAUGCGUAGAUAUUAGGAGGAACACCAGUGGCGAAGGCGGCUUACUGGACUGUAACUGACGUUGAGGCUCGAAAGCGUGGGGAGCAAACAGGAUUAGAUACCCCAGUAGUC
rnacentral:rRNA from 1 species